GGACUAGUACAAGCAGCCACACACACACAUACACGUGCAUGCACGUCGCUAUAUAAGUGCAAUAAUCUUGGACGCGACGUUAAACCCAAUUUCACCUCACCUCACCCAAACCGUUUGUGGACCCCUGUAAAUAUUUGGCAAGCGUCGCUCCUGAUUAUACGGGCGACUCAGACAGACAUGGUCCCUUUAUAAACCCAAUAAGAUGCUCUCUGUCAUGAAUAAGAACAGGUUGCAAACAAAAUACACAAAAUCUACAGCAAAGAACGCACAUCAAAUCCUAGCAACGAAACCAAGCUCAGGUAGACCACUGGCGUUUUUACAGUACUACAUGCGGCAGUAUUUGGAAAGGGACCUCAUACUUACAACUGAAUUCUAUUAAAACAAUCGGAAGCAUCGUUGCACCUGCCUAGUAAAUGAAGUGAACAUUCUAUAAUAUACACCAAAUAACUUCCUUCAAGCAAAUAGUUACUGAUGGCACAAACGCAGUCUCAUGUUAUAACUACGUCUGCGACUUGCUGAUUUAAUUUCC